GAAAGAGAGAGCGAGGAAGGGAAGAAGAAAGAACGUGACCACAAGGUUGGAAUCCGUCUCCUGUAUUUUAUACAUUUCUUAAUGGUCCUUUGUGCUGUGAUCCCGUGUUAUCCUCGGUCUUCCCGCUUACCUUCGUCUUCGAUCUGCAAGCGUUGAAUCAGCCACUCCAGCAAGUCUUGUCCUGCAGGGAGAUCAGGCAGCAGGAUCCUGCAUCUCAAUCACCAGAGAUUCGAUCUGCCAGGAAACGCGGGGAGACAGGAGAGGAAAAAGGUCAUCGGUUCAGAGGGAAGCUUUAAAAAAGAGGAAGAAGAGCGCCUCUGAGGGAAGAGAGAAAAAGAGGACAAGUCCAGCUCUCGCCGGAGUGGACCGCAAAGAGACAACAUACCAAGACAAUCCAAAGAGGUACCUCCUGUGCCAGCCUUAGAACCUCAUCACGACUCCCUACCUGCUCGGUAGUAUCUCUCCUACUUACUAAAACACGUACCCAACAUACAACACAGUUAGAUAUUAUUUA